rnacentral:rRNA from 1 species
CAAUGGGGGAAACCCUGAUGCAGCCAUGCCGCGUGUGUGAAGAAGGCCUUCGGGUUGUAAAGCACUUUCAGUUGUGAGGAAAAGUUAGUAGUUAAUACCUGCUAGCCGUGACGUUAACAACAGAAGAAGCACCGGCUAACUCCGUGCCAGCAGCCGCGGUAAUACGGAGGGUGCGAGCGUUAAUCGGAAUUACUGGGCGUAAAGCGCACGCAGGCGGUUUGUUAAGCUAGAUGUGAAAGCCCCGGGCUCAACCUGGGAUGGUCAUUUAGAACUGGCAGACUAGAGUCUUGGAGAGGGGAGUGGAAUUCCAGGUGUAGCGGUGAAAUGCGUAGAUAUCUGGAGGAACAUCAGUGGCGAAGGCGACUCCCUGGCCAAAGACUGACGCUCAUGUGCGAAAGUGUGGGUAGCGAACAGGAUUAGAUACCCUGGUAGUCCACACCGUAAACGCUGUCUACUAGCUGUUUGUGGCUUUAAGCCGUGAGUAGCGAAGCUAACGCGAUAAGUAGACCGCCUGGGGAGUACGGCCGCAAGGUUAAAACUCAAAUGAAUUGACGGGGGCCCGCACAAGCGGUGGAGCAUGUGGUUUAAUUCGAUGCAACGCGAAGAACCUUACCUACACUUGACAUGCAGAGAACUUUCCAGAGAUGGAUUGGUGCCUUCGGGAACUCUGACACAGGUGCUGCAUGGCUGUCCUCCACCUCGUGUCCUGAAAUGUGGGUUAAGUCCCGCA